AUGCUGCCGCUAGCGCGCGCCCCACUCCGCCGCCUCCUGCUCUCCUCUCCCCUUGCCCUGUCGCUCUGCGCCCCCUACACGACCGUAGGCCGCCGCGGCCUCGGCGGCGGCGGCGUCUCGCCCCUUCUCCUGAUGCUCUCCGCUCGCCCCUCGGCGUGCCGCGUCGGCGGGGGCUCCCCGGCCGCAGGGGCACCAACCGGGGCCUCCUCUCGAGGCAGGAGCUUCUGCGCCUGCGCCGUCAGCGUGGACGACGGGGCGCCCUCCAGCUCCGCCGCCGGCAGCGUCUACGACGACGUGGCCGCGCCCUACCUCUCCGUCCGCAUCCGCUGCCGCAAGGAGGACGCCGAACUGCUGUCCGAGUCCCUCCUGUGCUUUGGCGCUUGCUCCGUCACGGUGGACGACAUUACCGACGCUGCGAAUCUUGACGAGAUCUCCAUAACCACCAUAUAUGCACACGGGGAGAACGUGGGCUCAAGCAUAUCGAAUGCUGCAAGCUCAGCUGGCCUGGACUACAGCCCAGCGUAUGAAACCACUGUAGGAAAGCAGUGCGAUUGGGUGACACUCGUGCAGGAAACGUAUGAGUCUACUAAAGUUAUCGAUGACCUUUGGAUCAUUCCUAAAUGGAAAACUCCCCCUGAUCCGCAGGCCACAAAUAUCAUUAUCAAUCCAGGUCUGGCUUUUGGAACUGGGGAGCAUCCGACGACCAAAUUGUGCCUUCUUUUUCUGAAGGAAGUUAUUAAGGGGGGUGAGCAUGUCAUGGACUAUGGAACAGGCACCGGAGUGUUGGGUAUUGCAGCUCUGAAGAUGGGUGCUGCUCUAUCGACUGGUAUAGACAUCGACCCUCAAGCUGUAAGAUCCGCUCGUGAGAACAUGCUGCUGAACGGUAUGGAUUCCGACAGAAUGCUGGUUCACUUGGUACCGACAGGCGCCGAGCCUUCAUGCUUCUCAAGUAGCAUCGACAAAUCAGAAGAGGAAAAGCCCGGCAGUAACCUUGAGCUGAAGUCUUCAAAGGGGACGCAUGACAUUGUUGCUGCAAACAUACUGCUGAACCCCUUGCUGGAGCUGGUCGAGGACAUAGUUGGAUUUGCGAAAACCGGUGGAACAGUUGCCGUUUCAGGGAUAUUGUGUGAGCAGGUUCCGAAGAUCGAAAAGGCUUACUCCAGGUACUUGGACAACUUAUCUGUAUCUGAAAUGGAUGGAUGGGCGUGCCUUCAGGGAACAAGAAGAGCAUAG
rnacentral:rRNA from 1 species